rnacentral:rRNA from 1 species
GAUGAACGCUGGCGGCGUGCUUAACACAUGCAAGUCGAACGGAAAGGCCGAAGCUUGCUUCGGUACUCGAGUGGCGAACGGGUGAGUAACACGUGGGUGAUCUGCCCUGUACUUCGGGAUAAGCUUGGGAAACUGGGUCUAAUACCGGAUAUGACAAUCUCUUGGAUGGGGUUGUGGAAAGCUUUUGCGGUAUGGGGUGAGCUCGCGGCCUAUCAGCUUGUUGGUGGGGUAAUGGCCUACCAAGGCGUCGACGGGUAGCCGGCCUGAGAGGGUGUACGGCCACAUUGGGACUGAGGUACGGCCCAGACUCCUACGGGAGGCAGCAGUGGGGAAUAUUGCACAAUGGGCGCAAGCCUGAUGAAGCGACGCCGCGUGGGGGAUGACGGCCUUAGGGUUGUAAACUCCUUUCGCAACCGACGAAGCUUUUUGUGACGGUAGGUUGAGAAGAAGCACCGGCUAACUACGUG